rnacentral:lncRNA from 1 species
AAAAAUUUAUCAAUGAAGAAUUUUUUUUAAUAUUUCUGAUCUGAUGAAAAAUCCUGAUUCAUGAUUGUCGGACAGUGUACUGGCACUCACCUUGAUCAGACCCGAUAUUUUUUAAUUUGAUUAUCCAUGAUCCUGAUUUAACCAUGACUUAGAUUCAAUCAUUUUGAUCACACCAAUCGAGAUGUUGGACUGUGGCACCUGAUUAAUUUGGAUUGUAUCUCAUGAAUUCUCUCUCUUCUGAUUUUCUCUCUCCACUUGAUUCAUGAACCGAAUGAAGG